UCACUCGUGUUUCUCUUCAGCACGUAUAAAUCUUUCGCCUUUUACUAAAGAUUUCCGUGGAGUGGAACAACUAUGAGUUUUACCAAUUUUUUGAUGCCCUGUUUGUGCAGGGCU
ensembl:snRNA U5 U5 spliceosomal RNA